UACAAAACCUGCUCAGUCCCUGGGGAAGGGAAAAGGCCCAGACGUAGGACAGGAAGGGCUGCAUUCACAGUUCCUUCCUGCCCGUACAGUGUGAAACGGUGCAACCAUUCUGGGAAACAGUUCUUAAAGAGCGCAACACACGCUCAUCAUAGAACCCAGAGAGCCCACUCCCGGUGCUGAGGCGGGAGAAACGAGGCCGUCCGUGCACACAAAGACACACGCCGUGUCCAUAGCAGCUUUAUUCAUAGGAGCUGCAGACUGGACACAGCCCGAUGCCCAAACUCAGGGACCGGGCAAGCAGUCACUGAUCCACCCCACUUACUCAGCAGCACAAAGGAACAGACGCCCGGAGACAGGGUGACAGGGCUGGGACCUGAGAUUCAUACGCUGAGUGAGGAAAGUCGGACGCAAGAGUACACACUUGUACGGCAACACAUGAAACAGGACACUCCACCUGGAUGUCUUAGGGGAGCCUUGGAUUCGGCCUGCUCACGUCACCAUCACCUCACUGCUCCCCCUCUGGCGUGGUGGUUGCCCCUCAGGCUGGGUUCUCCGGCUGAAGGUUAGCCACCCGUCUCCCAGGCUCUGAGUUCUGACCCCAGGAAUCGUCACCCCAGACCCCCCUCUCUUGGUUCCAAGAUCACCAGGUUUUAUUUGAUUAAAAACAGUGAACUCUCAAGACGGAGGCUCACUCUUCAUCGUCUGCGGUUUUUGGAGCACAGUCCUCUGGUGACGACUCUUCUAGAUGAGGAGGCACAUUUCCAGAGAGGUGUCUUAUAAAAUGCAGUUGUUUUGACUCCUCAGAGCAAAGUGAACCGGGGCGAGGGAGUGCCCCCUUUGGAUUUGCCAAAGCCAGCGAUGAAGGGUGAAACGUGUCAAUCUUUUGAAAGCUCUGGGGACUUUUGCAUUAUCUGAGUGUUUUACUAGGUGCAUUUGUAUUAUUUGGUAGUAGCGGAGGGUGCUGGGUGUUUUUCCCCCAAACGCUGACAACUCCGAAGUCAUUACAUCCAGGAUUCCAUUUCCCCCAUGGCAAGAAAAGGUUGCUAUCUGUCACACACACUUAAGCGCCUGGCAUUUUUCUCAUUUUCUGAUAGGCGCUGCUGCCCCCCCUCCCCCUACUCCUCACCCCUACCUUCACAGAGAAAAGCUGCUGGCUGACAGAUCCCAGCUGCACAGAGAGAUAGCUGAGAAUUUCCAAUAGGGAAGUGUCAUGCUUUGCCAGCUCCGGGGAAGACAGAAUAAUUGGCUGGCAUCACAGACCUGCGUGAUGGUGCAGGAGAAGACAGAUCUGGCAGGGGUCCCCCAGGGGUGGGCUGGACAUCUCCCACAAUGCCAGACUGGAGACUUGCUGGGUCCAGAGAGCUUCAGGCUCUUCAGUGGCCCCUCUUGCCCCUAGGAGCCCCAGAGCACGCCUGCUGCCCGGUGGGAGUCUUUGCAGUCCACCCUGGACCACCAAACCCUUCUCCCCAAGGUCAAGUGGUUGGGGCGGAGGGGUGUUCAAAAGGAAAAGGAAAAGCCCAUCCCCAGUACUCAACUCGGUUGUGGCAGGAAAGAUGGGUGGGGCAGAAAAGACCCCUGUCCUCCUCACUGAAAAGGGAGCCCGGAGAUCUGGAAGAGGGCGCUCACUCUAACCUGACUCCCCAGCUCUGUGCAGGCUGCGGGGAGAAUGGAAAUGCCAGGUGGAGACAGUCUACUCUGACUCAGACUUGGCUCUCAAGGACAGAGACAAGGGCGAGCUUGGAUCUCGGAAGACCAGGCAGAGGAGGGAGGGUCUCAGAGAGGAGCCCCUGACGUGUGCGGAGGGGGCGCUUGCUUGUUUCAUCCCUCCUGAUCACUGCCAGCGCCCACACAGAGCUCUGAAAGGAGCCCCCAGCUCCGGGCCCCUGGGGCCCCUCCUCCUCCUCCAGCCCCAGGUCCAGCUGCUCUGCCUUUGGCUGCUGGUCAUAAGACGUCGGGCAACGCUGUCCAACAGAAACAUAGUUGCCAGCACACACAUAAUUCGGAUUUUUCCAGUAGUCAACAUUUUUUUAAUCCUCACCUGAGGAUGUUUAUUGAUUUUAGAGAGAGAGAAACACCGAGGUGAAUAACAUCCAUUAGUCAUCUCCAGUACGUACCCCAGCUGGGGAAUCAAACCCACAGCCCAGGUGUGUGCCCUGACUGGGGAUUGAACCCACAACCUUUUGGUGCUCCAACCAACCGAACCACCUGGCCAGGGCUAGCGGUCACAUUUUUAAAAAGUGAAAAAAAGACAGGUAAAAUUAAUCUUAGGCAGAUGUUUGGCUUAACCUAGCCCAUCCAGAAUAUUAUCAUUUCAACAUGUAACCGAUACAAAAAUUAAUGAGAUCUUGUACCGUCUCUUUUGUACUAAAUCUUCAAAACCCCCGGUCUAGUUCACUCGUGUCCACCCCUCGGUUUGGAGGAGCUCCAUUCCCGGUGCUCGGCCGCCGCCCACUGCCGGCUCCUGGUUGCCUGUGGGGCCUCGGGGCUUCCCCUGUACCCUACCACUCCCCAGGUGGGCGGUCAUUGGGCUUCCUGAGAGGCUCCAUUCCAGACCCCUUUGCCUUUCCCAGACCCAGGAGCAAAUUGGCCUUUGGGGCUGGGUGGCCAGCUCCCUUCCCUUUGUCUAAGAAGGGAGGCCUGUGGGGAAUCGGAGAGCUCUGGGCCAGGCACCAGAAGGCUCUGCCACUCAGCCUGCUGUGCGACCUGGAGCAAGUCACCACCCCUCUCUGGGCCCUAUUCUCAUUCUCUGUCAGGGGAAGGGUUUCCAUUUGUGACUUCCAAACAGAGAGGUGAUUAUGGACAGGAACCUCAGACAGAAGCCCCUGGUAUAAGUUAGAGGAGAGAGGCCUGCUCCGUUUGAAGAGCGUGAGCAGCUUGGGCACUGCCUCCUCCCUCACCCUCCCUGGAAGCCCUGGAGAACUGGGUGGAAAACCCUGCACCCAGCGUUGGUCCCCAGCCCAUGUAUUCACACUUCAUUGUACAAACACGCAAAACUACACUGUAGGUUGCUUAUGGAUCCCUAUAUAUAAGAGUAUAAAAAUACACAUGUGCUAAAGCCGUGACUUCAAGUUAGUAGCCUCCUCUGAAAGGGGAGGAAGGAGUUGGGUUAGGUAUGGAAUUUUGGUUCUUACUGACAUUUAACUUUUUGACCAAAGGAGACCUAAAGAAAAUAUAGCAAGAUGCUAACAUUUGUUCAAGCUUAG